rnacentral:rRNA from 1 species
UACGUAGGGUGCGAGCGUUGUCCGGAUUCAUUGGGCGUAAAGAGCGUGUAGGCGGCCAGAUAAGUCCGCUGUGAAAUCUCGAGGCUCAACUUCGAGCUGUCGGUGGAAACUGUCUGGCUAGAGUCCGGAAGAGGAGAAUGGAAUUCCUGGUGUAGCGGUGAAAUGCGCAGAUAUCAGGAAGAACACCCGUGGCGAAGGCGGUUCUCUGGGACGGUACUGACGCUGAGACGCGAAAGCGUGGGGAGCGAACAGG